rnacentral:rRNA from 1 species
UACGAAGGGGGCUAGCGUUGCUCGGAAUGACUGGGCGUAAAGGGCGCGUAGGCGGCACACAUAGUCAGGCGUGAAAUUCCUGGGCUUAACCUGGGGGCUGCGUUUGAUACAUGUGAGCUAGAGGAUGGAAGAAGGCUCGUGGAAUUCCCAGUGGUAGAAGGUGAAAUUCGUAGAUAUUGGGAAGAACACCGGUGGCGAAGGCGGCGAAGCUGGUCCAUUACUGGACGCUGAGGCGCGAAAGCGUGGGGAGCAAACAGG